UAGGCGAGACCCGAAGCUCAGAAAAUUUACAACUGAUACAUAUACUAAUUACUACUGCGGAGAAUCUAAGAUUUACCAUUUUACAUACCAAAUCAAAUACUUCACCCGAUGAUGAAGGAGUCGGGUUACUGAAUAAGAGUCGCAGGAGAACUAUCAGUCACAAAGCUGAAAAAAAAUAAAUGGAGACUGUCAGUCUCGAGAGUGAGUUAAAAUCAUAUAUCUAAAACAGUUUCAAAUAUCUCAAUGUCACAUUCAUUUAAUUUUAAA
rnacentral:lncRNA from 1 species